rnacentral:tRNA from 1 species
UCCUCGAUAGCUCAGUGGUAGAGCAUUCGGCUGUUAACCGAAGGGUCGUAGGUUCAAACCCUACUCGAGGAG